rnacentral:rRNA from 1 species
UACGAAGGGGGCUAGCGUUGUUCGGAAUUACUGGGCGUAAAGGGCGCGUAGGCGGUGUGUCAAGUCAGGCGUGAAAGCCCCGGGCUCAACCUGGGAACCGCGCUUGAGACUGGCACGCUCGAGUUCGGGAGAGGAUGGUGGAAUUCCCCAGUGUAGAGGUGAAAUUCGUAGAUAUUGGGAAGAACACCGAUGGCGAAGGCAGCCAUCUGGACCGACACUGACGCUGAGGC